CUGAGGACACUGUGACUAUGGUUCCAUGGCCCCAGAGAUCGAUACCGUAGUGAUGGGGUCCCCUCACCCUGUUUCUUGCACAGUAAUAUGUGGCCGUGUCCUCAGUCUUCAGGUUGUUCAUCUGCAGAUACAGCGUGUUCUUGGCGUUGUCUCUGGAGAUGGUGAAUCGGCCCUUCACGGAGUCUGCGUAGAUUGUGUCUCUUA